AGGUGAUCCGAUGUCGAUGGGCAGCGGCCGCGCUCGGAGCACAGCUCCUUAGCUAGCAGCCAGCAGCUGCGUUGACAGGGGCGAAAGGGAAUCCGGUUAAUAUUCCGGAACCCGGCCGCGGAAAAUCGCACGCAACAAGCGCCGACAGGCGUUUGGUGCGGGCCUGCGGGGCAACCCAUACAAACCAGGAGACGCCGGCGGGAGGCCCGGGAAGAGUUCUCUUCUCUGCUUAAGCGAUCGGGGACCCUGAAACCCUAUUGCAGGGAGAUAGGGUUUGGAUCGCAAAGAGCACCGCACUUGCAGCGGUGUCCGGACAUUCCCCCCGGCCCUUGAAAAUCCUGGCUAGGGCUACGCGGAAGUCGCGGCCGGAUCGUACCCAUAACCGCAGCCGGUCCCCAAGGUUAACAGCCUCUGGUCGCUGGAAUAAUGUAGGUAAGGGAAGUCGGCAAAUUGGAUCCGUAACUUCGGAAGAAGGAUUGGCUCUGAGGACCGGGGCGAGCCGGGCCCGGACGGAGAAACGUGUAGCGCCGUGCGCCAGGACGCAGGAGUCUCGCACGCCGGUCCUGCGCGGCGGCCAACACGCGGACCGACCUCGCUUCUGGGCGAUUCGGCUUGCAGCUGUCGUCGCUACACCCGCGGCGCGUUGCGGCCUCGCCUGUCGGCCGCCGCUCAACGGUCGGCUCAGAACUGGCACGGACCAAGGGAAUCCGACUGUCUAAUUAAAGCAAAGUAUCGCGACGGCUUGAAAUAGUGUUGACGCGAUGUGAUUUCUGCCCAGUGCUUUGAAUGUCAAUCUGAAGGAAUUCGGACAAGCACAGGUAAACGGCGGGAGUAACUAUGACUCUCUUAAAGGUAGCCAAAUGCCUCGUCAUCCAAUUAGUGACGCGCAUGAAUGGAUUAACGAGAUUCUCUCUGUCCCUACCUACUAUCUAGCGAAACCACAGCCAAGGGAACGGGCUUGGUUGUAUCAGCGGGGAAAGAAGACCCUGUUGAGCUUGACUCUAGUCUGGUGCUGUAAGGAGACAUGAGAGGCGUAGAAUAAGUGGGAGGCGCCUGGCGCGGUUUCGGCCGCGCCGAAGGCGACCGCCAAUGAAAUACCACUACUUUCAUAGUUUCUUUACUUACUCGGUCGAGCGGGAGGCGCGUCCGCGGCGGUCUCAGCGCCGCCGCGGCGUACUUUCUCGAUCGAAACAUACGAGGGUUGCCGCGCUGAACCGCGUGCUGCCCGUCGGUAGCAGCAUGCAAAGUUGCGGUUGAUCCUAUACACGCAUCUGUUGCCGGCUGGGCUAUCGCGGUACGGCCGGCAAUCUCCCCCUCGCGUGACCCGAUCCGGGGACAACGCCAGGCGGGGAGUGAC
rnacentral:rRNA from 1 species